CUAAGCAACCUCACUACCAGCUUUUCUGCUUUAAUAUUGUUAAGUGUCACAGCCCCCUGUUUUCGGUCUGAUGAAAUUGGAAACAAACAAUACCCUGAACCAACACUAGACUUUUACUUAUAUUAAGAUAAACUGCUUUGGAUGGUGCUCUGAAUGUGUGCCUAAAGCAAGACUUUGAAUGCAGGAGUCACUUGCAAUUGCACGCAGAGGAGGGAAAAGCCACCACUUACUUGGGUUUCCACAUCCAUACUCCCAGAGGUGCAUGUCUUUCUAUUUUGCAUAUUUGGGGGGGGGCAAUAACUAUCCAGCAUGACCACAGCCACUUCUUACUUUAAGAUGCAAAAAAGUAAAUUUUCACAGUUGUUUACAGACUCCCCUCUUUCCUAACUGGAGUCUCUAUUACAAUGAGAAUAGCUAGAUACAAUAAUUUUCUCCCCCAUACCAUUACAGACCGUUUACCUACAGAAGAGGAGCAUUCAAGAUCAUCAUUCUUAAAGUCAAUUAUAAAAAAAAAGAAAAGUAAUGAUUUCCAAUAUGGCUUAGAAUUAUUCUAAAUUGUAGUUUUACAUGGCUUUUAAUAGUAUAUAUUUAUACUAAGUAGAUGUAUGACUUAUCAGAUUCCUCCCCUGAGAUUUAUCUCUAUUGUUAAUGUCCCUUUUUUCUUCCUCUUCCCACUUUCCCCUCCUUUUUAUUAAAAAAAAAAAAAAAGAAUGGAAUCCAGCUUUCUCCAGAAGUUUGCUCUUCAGCCUCUUCUCUCCCACGCGGUGGAAGAAGGACCCCAUUGCAAGGAGUGCUUCCAGGCAGGACCUCAAUGGUGAGCCCAGUUAA
rnacentral:lncRNA from 1 species